GAUGAAGAACGCAGCGAAAUGCGAUAAGUAAUGUGAAUUGCAGAAUUCAGUGAAUCAUCGAAUCUUUGAACGCACAUUGCGCCCCCUGGUAUUCCGGGGGGCAUGCCUGUCCGAGCGUCAUUACAACCCUCAAGCUCAGCUUGGUAUUGGGCCCCGCCGACCCGGCGGGCCCUAAAGUCAGUGGCGGUGCCGUCCGGCUCCGAGCGUAGUAAUUCUUCUCGCUCUGGAGGUCCGGUCGUGUGCUCGCCAGCAACCCCCAAUUUUUUUCAGGUUGACCUCGGAUCAGGUAGGGAUACCCGCUGAACUUAAGCAUGUCAAUAAGCGGAGGA
rnacentral:misc_RNA from 1 species